UAUAUAUUAUUUAUAUCUACUAUUCUUCUUGGCAAGAAGAGUAGUAGAUAUAAAUGUCAUAUAUAG
rnacentral:tRNA from 1 species